CAUAAAAUGAGCAUGCCAAAAGACAAAAAAAGAAGAAGGAUUAAUUGUUCAAUAUAGUGCGUGCAUUAUCUCUAAAUUUCUUCCAUUCUGUUAGUCUUUCGAAAUCAGUGUUAAAACCAAGAACCAUGUCCGAAGAAAGGAACGAGAAGCCGGAGGAACAACAACGGCAACAGUGGCCCGAACUAAAGCUACCGGAGUUGCUAUAUGCGGACACGAUUAGGAAACUACACGAAGUGAUAUGGCAAUAUGUUGAUUAAUUAACUACUGUUUGUUGGAUAUCAAUUAACUAUCUUGAUUUCCUCUCCGUGCCACUGCUUCCUGUAAUUUUAUUUUACCAGCAUUCAUGUUAGUUUCUUGUUCAAUGUUUCCAUCUCUUGAUAGCUUAUUGCUAACAUAUUUGUCCAUGUUAGUUUCUUGUUCAAUGUUUCCAUCUCUUGAUAGCUUAUUGCUAACAUAUUUGUCCUGCUGUUCCAUCAGAAAACUGAAUCUUAUUGAAUUGGUCUGCCCGUUUGGGUUUCUCGAUCGACUGACUUAUUUAUUAGUUUGCUUUUGCAGGCAAUGCACCUUUGGUAAUAGCAUAAGGGAUGGCCUGUAGUAUUGUACAACAGUGAUAGAACUCUGUGUAAGCACAACCCUUAACCCUUCAUAUACCCUGUGUAGUACAAAUAUGUUAAUCAGCAUUGUGAAUAAUUUGAAGCAAUUGAAAUAAUUAUAUAAUAACAUCACCCGUUCUCCAUGUGACUGCAGUUAGUUUCCUCACAUAGAUACCAACUUUGAUUUACCAUUGCCUUAUUGUGGCAGGGAAUCUCUACUCUUGGGUAAGGGUAAAUUAUACCUUUCUAGAUGUGUUAUUUCACUCGUAAAAUUUCCUACUUUUCAUGAAUUUGUUUAUAACUCAGUGUUUGGGUCAACCUUAUCCGCAAUUCGACUAAUUAUACUGUACUUUGCCGUGACAUAAAAUAGCCCCUGAUGGAAGACUUACUAGUUCUUUAACAAAGGCGACGCAAUGAGGAGCAGGAGGAGGAGAAGAGUCGAUUGGAGGAAGAGCAAAAGCAACGUGAGGAGGAACAAAGGCGACACGUGAGGACGAACAAAGACUUGUCCUCUUGUUGGUGAAAUGCUUGAAAAGGUCAAGAUCGGAGGAUGAUGGGGCAUAACCAUUUGAAGGAAGUUAGAGUUCGUGGAUUUUGUGGGAGCGAGUCUCAAAUCGAGUUUGCUAUGCACUUGGUGAAAAAAGCUAUCGAUUCUUGAACAAAUGGUAGUGUGACCAUUAGAGUGAAUCUUGUUUUUUUGUCAUCUGUUUAUUGAAGUAGAACUUUUUAGUAUUUUGCGGUCUAAGGGUUUGAAUACAUUUUGUUACGAAACCUAGAUUUUUUUAUUUU